rnacentral:lncRNA from 12 species
AGGCACCCCUCUGGCCUUCCCCUUCUAUAUUUAGUGCGCUGUGGUGACAGCUGGUCAUCUGAUGACUCAUCAGUCACUGUGGGCGUCUCCUGAUUGGAACCCUGAACAUUUAUUCACAGGGCAUUUUUGGCAGCCUCCGAGCUCCUCCUAGUAAGUGCGGGCUCUUGGAGGCUGUCUGAAAACACACACACACACACACACACACACACAGGAAGAUUGGGGAGUUCGAUUAACCAGCGGGCCCCCAGCUGAAGACCUCUGGGUGCUGGGCAAAUCCAGCAGGGCUUUGGGGAACUGGUUCCCCAUGGGCCUGGGAAUGCAGAGGCAUCAUCCCCUACAAUGAGGCUUUAAACGGAGCUUUCGCUCUCUCCUGGGUCAACGUGCUAGGUAGCCAGCUGGCCCUAGAUGCCUCCUGGCAGCGGGGCCCAGAGAUCCCCACGGGAGAGCCUGCAGCCCCACCUCCGGGCGGGGGCUAAACGUUGGCUGCCGAGCCAGCGACAGUUGGGUUCCAUCUAGGCUGCUCUGCUCGCUCGCCCUGCCACCCGGGCCGUGGCUUCCAGAAGUUGGCAAGCGCUUGGUCAACCUGUUUCGAACUCCCCAGGUGGCAGCCCAGCAGCUCCUCUUGUCUUCUUCUCUCUCCUCAUUGACAUCACUGCUCCGCUCAUAAAGAACAGGUUGCUUUCACGUUUCUCGUGGAGGGCUGUGUGUGCACGGGUGUGUUGGAAGUG